AAAAAGAGAGGAAAAUUGAGGGAAAACAUUGGAAAAAUCAAUGAAAACAAAGGAAAGACGGAAAAAAUUUUAGGGAAGUUUGAGGGAAAAGACGAGAACAAGCUUGGUUAAACUGGAGGACAAAGGAGAGCAGUUUUUCUUUUUUAUCAGCCAAUGUGUCAAGGGAGAAAUUCUAUCCUGAUGGUGCGGAGCGAUACAUCUCAAAGAAGAUUUUGGAUAACCUUCCAAAUGGUCGUAUCAGAUGGUCCAUGUAUCCUAUGAAAUUGAAGAACUUCUUGUUUAAUGAGUUUCUUGAUAGUUAUAAAUUUGCUCAUGACCUUACUAAAGGUGUAUUGAAAAAGGUGUUCAUGAAGGUUGUAGAAAGAUGACUUAGUCAAAGGCUAAAUUAUUUAAGAAAAUAGGUAAUGCAGAAUAAUAAUACAGAAGAUUUGAGUGAAAUAAUUGAUAAAGGGCCUCCUUUUAUGACUAUUGAGAAAUGGGCUAGCUUGGUGGCAGAGUGGACAGGAGAAGAAUGGCAGAAGAAGUCGAAGACUGCAUCAAAGAACCGUCAAUAAUCCGACAUGAGCAUCCACACAGGUGGAUCUGCUAUCAUGUAUGCUUAUGGUAGACGUAUAAUACGUACUUUUAUAUUUUUUUAAUAGAGUUCUUUCAUCUUAAUAAAGGAGAAUUCUUCUAAGAUACACCAGUGAAAGAUAUAGCUAUUUUUUGUUGGUAAUCAAUUAGUUUCUUCUGAUUGUGGUAGGAGAACUGGAACCACUUUUUGAUUAUCUAUUUAGCUCUGCUCAAAAAAUAUGUAAACAACAUAAUGUCCAAUGGUAAGGACUAAGGAGAAAAUACCAGUUCAUGUAUAUAUAAACACAUUUAAUAUAUUAUCUUCUUCUAACUCUCCAGAAAAUAAGUUAUUCAUCUCACCUAAAUUUUCAUAUAAGUCUUUGAGAAUUUCUGGUUAAUUUCUGUCUAUAAACAAUUUAGCUUCAACUUGGUUGACAAUAAGAUCUACCAUUCAAUGCACUUUUCUUCCAAACAACUAUUGUACUAUGCUAUCUCAUUAAAUUUUAUAUUUCUCAGUUUGUUGGAGUUAGAUUUCAUUCGUUCCAUACUGAUAUCCUAAUUUGAAGUAAUUGUUGUUGUCUUUAUGGUACUUUUUCAUAAGCAUUGAGCAUUAAUUUACAGCCUUUAAAUUAUUAUAGAAAAUACUGCUCAGUAGACCGAUCUAUCACAAAAAGUUGUUUGAAUA